rnacentral:ncRNA from 1 species
GGACAGACUGUAAACAAUUGCAGCUCUUAGAAGGAAUUCUAAGAUGAACUCUUUGGGAUAACGGUGAAAGCUAAAUCCGCCGGUUGGCGGACAUGUCAAUACCGUGGGAACCUAAUAAUUAAUUAUUAGGGCGCCGUAGAGACUAGAUACCAAAGUAUCCUAUCUGAAUCAGGAUAAAGAUAUAGUCCAUGCCAGGAAGAAAUUUCUGG